rnacentral:rRNA from 1 species
AAGCUGAAACGCUCAUCUGAAGGAGGAUUUAGCAGUAAGUGGGAAAUAGAGCGUCCCACUGAAAUUGGCCCUGAAGCGCGCACACACCGCCCGUCACUCUCCCCAAAGCCCACCACCAAUUAAUUAAAACCUAAUAUCCAAAAAGGGGAGGCAAGUCGUAACAUGGUAAGUGUACCGGAAGGUGCGCUUGGAAAAAUC